rnacentral:rRNA from 1 species
AGAGUUUGAUCCUGGCUCCGAAUGAACGCUAGCAAGAAGCCUAACACAUGCAAGUUGAACGGAAUAGAUAUUCCGUAGCGAACGGGUGAGUAACGCGUGAGAAUCUACCUCUAAGUUGGGAAUAAGAUAUUUUAUUAAAUACCCAAUAGAUUGAAAGCCGUUGUGCGCUUAGGGAUGAGCUCGCGUAGGAUUAGGUUGUUGGUGGGGUAAAGGCCUACCAAGCCGAAGAUCCUUAGCUGAUUUGAGAGGAUGAUCAGCCACACUGGGACUGAGACACGGCCCAGACACUUUCGAGUGGCAGCAGUGAGGAGUAUUGGACAAUGGGCGCAAGCCUGAUCCAGCUAUCUUGCAUGAGGGAAGAAGGCCUACUGUGUCGUAAACCUCUGCCUUAAACUGAGAAUGAUGAUGAAGGUUUAAGUAAAAGUCCCGGCUAACUCCGUGCCAGCAGCCGCGGUAAUACGGAGGGGGCGAGCGUUAUUCAAAAUGACUGGGCGUAAAGAGCAUGUAGGCGGACUAGACCUCUUAUUUCCGAGAUGCAACGGUCCUCCUUGUGAGGACGCAGUCCUUCUCUGUCUGGAUACUUCAUCAUUGUAUGGAGGAUUGAUAAAGUCCUACUGGAAAGUAGGUGAUUCAAAAUAAGCGCUAGUCUUGAGUAAGUGAGAGGAUAGUGGAAUUCCUGAAGGAGAGGUGAAAUUCAUAGAUAUCAGGAGGAAGGCCGAAAGCGAAGGCAACUAUCUGGCACUUUAUGUAUUUGUAAUAAAUACAGUAACUGACGUUGAGAUGCGAAGGCGUGGGGAUCAAAGAGGAUUAGAGACCCUACUAGUCCACGCAGUCAACGAUGAAGAUUCACUUUUAGAGCAUUCUUUAUAUUCAUGAAUGUUUUAGAGGUCUAGCUAACGCGUUAAAUCUUCCGCCUGAGGAGUACGACCGCAAGGUUAAAACUCAAAGGAAUAGACGGGGGCUCAUACAAGUGGUGGAACAUGUGGUUUAAUUCGAAACAACGCGCAAAACCUUACCAGUCCUUGACAUAACUUGUGAACCUUUACUUUAUCGUUUAUGGUAAGCCAGUUACAGGCGUUGCAUGGCUGUCGUCAGCUCGUGUCGUGAGAUGUUUGGUUCGUUCCUUUAACGAGCGUAACCCUCAUGAAAAGUUAUUCAGAAUCCAAGAACGGAUUCUCUCCUCUUUUCAAACUGCCAGUGAUAAACUGGAGGAAGGUGAGGAUGACGUCAAGUCUUCAUGACCCUUAUGGACUGGGCUACACACGUGUUACAAUGGUAGGUACAGUGGGAAGCAAUGACGCGAGUCGGAGCGAAUCCUAAAACCCUAUCUUAGUCCGGAUUGCUCUCUGCAACUCGAGAGCAUGAAGUUGGAAUCACUAGUAAUCGUGGAUCAGCACGCCACGGUGAAUUUGUACCUGGGCCUUGUACUCCCCGCCCGUCACGCUCUGGAAGUUUAAAAGGUCCGAAGACUUUCACUGAUUAUAAAAGCCAAAAACGCAACCCGCUUUCCAUGAAAGCACAGGUUUUUGCAAGAUAUAAUCAACGAGUUUAAGAUCAGUUAAAUAACUGGAGCGAAGUCGUAACAAGGUAGCCGUAGGGGAACCUGCGGCUGG